rnacentral:miRNA from 1 species
CACAUUCUGUAGAUCCAAUAUUU